GACAGGGGAUGCAAGCGUUAUCCAGAAUUAUUGGGCGUAAAGCGUCUACAGGUGGAUUAAUCAGUUUUUUGUUAAAUCUUGAGGCUUAACCUCAAUCUUGCAAAAAAAACUAUUUUUCUAGAGUAUGGUAGAGGUAAAGGGAAUUUCCAGUGGAGCGGUGAAAUGCGUAGAGAUUGGAAGGAAGACCAAAAGCGAAGGCACUUUACUGGGCCAUAACUGACACUUACUGACGAAAGCUAGGGGAGCAAACGAG
rnacentral:rRNA from 1 species